AGAAUGAACGCUGGCGGCAUGCCUAACACAUGCAAGUCGAACGAGAUCUUCGGAUCUAGUGGCGCACGGGUGCGUAACGCGUGGGAAUCUACCCUUGGGUUCGGAAUAACAGUUGGAAACGACUGCUAAUACCGGAUGAUGACGUAAGUCCAAAGAUUUAUCGCCUGAGGAUGAGCCCGCGUAGGAUUAGCUAGUUGGUGUGGUAAAGGCGCACCAAGGCGACGAUCCUUAGCUGGUCUGAGAGGAUGAUCAGCCACACUGGGACUGAGACACGGCCCAGACUCCUACGGGAGGCAGCAGUGGGGAAUAUUGGACAAUGGGCGAAAGCCUGAUCCAGCAAUGCCGCGUGAGUGAUGAAGGCCUUAGGGUUGUAAAGCUCUUUUACCCGGGAUGAUAAUGACAGUACCGGGAGAAUAAGCUCCGGCUAACUCCGUGCCAGCAGCCGC
rnacentral:rRNA from 1 species